CACCUUCCUAGAAUUAUAUUUGAUAAAACAGUUGGCUUCUCACAUGAUUGAAAACAAGUGCAAGAUUGACAAUAUAUGAACCUUCACAAUUUUACACAAUGAUUUGUCUUGAGCACUCCUUUGACUGGCUUCCUUGAACAGCAGUCAAAAGCUUGUAGUAAAUUCGUUGAUUAGCUCUUUUAAGAUUGAAAGCAGAGCUAGGGUUGAAAGAAUAAUGGGAUUCAAUCAUGCUGUAUGUCAAUGAACAAAUAUUUUUGCUAAUAUAGGAAAAAAAUGACCGAGAUCAUAUAGGGAAUUCUGACAAACAGAUAUUACCACAAAUUAACUAUGAACAUAUAUAGAUCAAAGCCAUGGAAGUUACAUAUCUGGUGGAAAGAAAAGCAUCAUCCUACAAACCUUGACUAGUACAAACAGAAUUACAUAGUCCAAAAGGAGAAUUAUCAUCCUGCAAACCACAAGAUAAUAAUCAUACAGGCAUUGCAUUCAUUACCUGUAUAUGGAAACACAUAGAAAUUUAACAGAGGAACCGACCAACUGAAAUUCUGUAUAAAAUCAGUUCGGGCCUAAAAGCUGAAAAUUUUACUGUUUUAUUGGGAUGGCAUAGCUAAAGCCAUGCUGCUUGAGGAACAUGUUAAAAAUUUCAAAUUGUUAACAAUAAAUUGAACAAUCUAGCAGACCUGAUUACACAACGGUAUAAACAGGAGGCACUCAAUUGAAAUGGCUAAUUUUCUUCUAAAAUGUGAAUUUCAACCAAAUUAAGGGCCAAAUAUCUAAACCAGAGGCCAACAAUUGGAAAAAAAAAUCUAGCAAGUAGUCCCAAUGUGAUUUGGUGAGACUGAACUGAUCAGAAUUAGACAGCUACCAAAUAUGUCAGAUACAACACUGAACUAAUUAAACUAGCUUGCACCCAGUUAUAGCUCAUCCACUUUCCCUAAUCUAUAUAGAUCCAUAUAAAUACCAUCAGAAAUGGGUCAAUUUUAGUAAAAAUCAGCUGAAAUUGUACCGACUUAGCCAGAUUAGUACACAAACUUAGCUAUAGCAUUUCCUACUACACACAACAACAACCGUUGGCUGGAAUGAAAUGCUUCAAACUCAUUCCCUCAGGCUAUCUAAAAAAGUUCAAAACUUUGUAUUUAGAUAAGCCAUAUUCAUCAACAACACUAACUCAUUGGCAAAUCAAACCCAAAUUUUUGCAGGAAUAAGAACAUAGAAGAGAAGCAUAGAGCAAUUCUUAACCUGAAGAUUAAAAACUUAGCAUUCAAACACCCAAAAUGCAAACCAAAUGAGCUUACCCAGCAAACCAAAUGAGC
rnacentral:misc_RNA from 1 species